rnacentral:rRNA from 1 species
UACGUAGGGGGCAAGCGUUGUCCGGAUUUAUUGGGCGUAAAGAGCGUGUAGGCGGCCAAGUAAGUCUGCUGUGAAAACUCGAGGCUUAACCUCGAGCUGUCGGCGGAAACUAUUUGGCUAGAGUCCGGAAGAGGAGAAUGGAAUUCCCGGUGUAGCGGUGAAAUGCGCAGAUAUCGGGAAGAACACGCGUGGCGAAGGCGGUUCUCUGGGACGGUACUGACGCUGAGACGCGAAAGCGUGGGGAGCGAACAGG